GCAGAGAUGAAUUCGGCAGGCAGCAUGCAAUGGUCUAUGCGAGUCUUUGAGCUUGCGACUUGGCAUGGACGUGGGGGCUUAGAUGAUGGACCUUCUAAGUCAGCAGCUGACGCAGCAGAAGCUGGCAGCUGGGGCUGCCAAGUAGACAGCCAGGAAAUAGGGGAAGUGGCAGCUUCAUGGGAGGCAAAACGUGGGAGCAUAACUUGAGUGCUGUCCGGGCCACUAUGUCCUGAAAACAUGGGAUCAUGGGUGAGAGGUAGUGCUCCACCAUGUCCUGAAAACAUGGGAUCAUGGGAGAGAGGUAGUGCUCCACUAGGUCCCGAAAAUGGGGGAUAAUGGGGAGGAGCCUUUGCAGCUCCUUUGCUUGUCUAUAAAUACAAGAUGUAGCUCUUGGUUGAAGAGGAGGCAUUCGGGUAGGGAAUGUCCAGAAUGUAAGAGCAUUCAGUUGGGAAUGUUCGGCAUGUAGAACACUAGUUAGAGGUAGCUUAGUGUAGCAUGUAAUCUUUGUGCAUAGCACACAUACGGAUUUGUGUAUAGUUUCCUUUGUGUAUGAGAUUAAUAAAGGUUGGGAAAGAGUUCCUGUAAA